AAAAGUCAAGUCAGCAUGUAUGAGAACACCAAUCUAUAAAAGUGUUCAACAAAGGAGGGCAUUGUUAUUUUACUAUCAUUAUUUUUACUACUUUAUGUUAUUUUGUAAAAAGGCAAGUCACCGAGGUGUCUUCUAUUAAAUCGAUUAGCCUGGAAGAAGAACUAAGCAAGAUGAGAAACUGAAUGUAUCUGUGACUCUGCAAGUAGUCCUGACACAUUCUCCCUGACAUUGUGGUGGGAUCCAGGCCCAGACGCUGUGGAUAAAGUCAGUGCCAUCCCCAAUCAGCAGUUCUAAGCCUGCAGCUCAGGAGCCCUCAACCCUCUCACAAGUUCCUCAUGGCUCAGUCUUCCUUGAAGGCCUUAUCUCUCCAGCGGGUGCGGUCUAGGCUUCACUGAGUCCAGAUAUGUCAUCCAAAGAGCUAGGUAGUGGGAAGCCUCUGGUAGGAACAGCCUGGAUUCCAGCCAGAACUGCCUGGGAGGAGGCACCAGCUUACCAGAGCUCAGCCUCUGGGUGUUCUGCUGAUCUUGCUGCUGCUGCUGCUGUCGCCUGGCCAGCUUCUUCAUCUGAUAAGGAGAGGACCAUAGGAUUAGAAGUCAGGUGGCCUGCAGCAUGUUCACAAAGGCUGCUGUGGCCAAAAUAAUUAUUGAUAACAGAAUUUUUGAAUCAAGAGAACUACUCUAUCCAAUGAGCUAAGGUAACUUUGGGUGUUUCACGAAUAUCCAUAGUGACUGCUACCCCGAGUGAGCCCUGCCCAAAGAGAACAAGAUGAGAGCCAUCUGGAACCCGGCAGAGCCAGGUAGACAACUCUGAGGCCAGCAUGUGUGCCAGGGCUGUGGUGGAGACAGGACAACUGGAAUCCAGAUAAUAAAGAGAUGCAUUUAAACAUCUGCCUACCAUACAGGCACACAGUGAGGGUCUGGCAAGGUGUUGAGAAGAGA